CCCUUAGAUGUUCUGGGCCGCACGCGCGCUACACUGAUGCAUUCAAUAAGCCUAGCCUUGACCGAGAGGUCCGGGUAAUCUUUGAAACUGCAUCGUGAUGGGGCUAGAUUAUUGCAAUUAUUAAUCUUCAACGAGGAAUGCCUAGUAAGCGUGAUUCAUCAAAUCGCGUUGAUUACGUCCCUGCCCUUUGUACACACCGCCCGUCGCUCCUACCGAUUGAAUGUGUUGGUGAGGAGCUCGGAUUGGCAGCAGUUGGUGGUUCGCCACCGGCUAUUGCUGAGAAGUCCUCCAAACCGCCCCAUUUAGAGGAAGGAGAAGUCGUAACA
rnacentral:rRNA from 1 species